rnacentral:rRNA from 1 species
UACGGAGGGUGCAAGCAUUGAUCGGAAUUACUGGGCGUAAAGGGUGCGUAGGCGGCCGAAAAAGUCAGAUGUGAAAUUCCGGGGCUCAACCCCGGAGCUGCAUUUGUAAACUUUUACGGUCUAGAGUACAGUUAGGGUAAACGGAAUUCCACGUGUAGCGGUGAAAUGCGUAGAUAUGUGGAAGAACACCGGUGGUGAAGACGGUUUACUGGGCUGAAACUGACGCUGAGGCACGAAAGCUAGGGGAGCAAACAGGAUUAGAAACCCCGUG